AGGACGAACGCUGGCGGCGUGCUUAACACAUGCAAGUCGAGCGGGUAAGGCGUCCUUACGGGAGUACACGAGCGGCGAACGGGUGAGUAACACGUGAGCAAUCUGCCCUUCACACUGGGAUAACCCCGGGAAACCGGGGCUAAUACCGGAUGCGACCACCGACGGCAUCGUCUGGUGGUGGAAAGUUCCGGCGGUGGAGGAUGAGCUCGCGGCCUAUCAGCUUGUUGGUGGGGUAACGGCCUACCAAGGCGACGACGGGUAGCUGGUCUGAGAGGACGACCAGCCACACUGGGACUGAGACACGGCCCAGACUCCUACGGGAGGCAGCAGUGGGGAAUCUUGCGCAAUGGGCGAAAGCCUGACGCAGCGACACCGCGUGGGGGAUGAAGGCCUUUCAGGUCGUAAACCCUUUCGGCAGGGACGAAGCGAUCUCGUGACGGUACCUGCAGAAGAAGCCUCGGCUAACUACGUGCCAGCAGCCGCGGU
rnacentral:rRNA from 1 species